rnacentral:rRNA from 1 species
UUAACUCCUUACGGGAGGCAGCAGUAGGAAUAUUCCACAAUGAGCGAAAGCUUGAUGGAGCGACACAGCGUGCACGAUGAAGGUCUUCGGAUUGUAAAGUGCUGUUAUAAGGGAAGAACAUUUGCAAUAGGAAAUGAUUGCAGACUGACGGUACCUUGUCAGAAAGCGAUGGCUAACUAUGUGCCAGCAGCCGCGGUAAUACAUAGGUCGCAAGCGUUAUCCGGAAUUAUUGGGCGUAAAGCGUUCGUAGGCUGUUUGUUAAGUCUGGAGUUAAAUCCCGGGGCUCAACCCCGGCUCGCUUUGGAUACUAGCAAACUAGAGUUAGAUAGAGGUAAGCGGAAUUCCAUGUGAAGCGGUGAAAUGCGUAGAUAUAUGGAAGAACACCAAAGGCGAAGGCAGCUUACUGGGUCUAUACUGACGCUGAGGGACGAAAGCGUGGGGAGCAAACAGGAUUAGAUACCCUGGUAGUCCACGCCGUAAACGAUGAUCAUUAGUCGGUGGAGAAUCACUGACGCAGCUAACGCAUUAAAUGAUCCGCCUGAGUAGUAUGCUCGCAAGAGUGAAACUUAAAGGAAUUGACGGGGACCCGCACAAGCGGUGGAGCAUGUGGUUUAAUUUGAAGAUACACGGAAAACCUUACCCACUCUUGACAUCCUUCGCAAAGCUAUAGAGAUAUAGUGGAGGUUAACAGAGUGACAGAUGGGUGCAA